GUGAAGCCAUAUUUCUCUGUCAGAUUUACAAGCCUGUAUGGAUAAAGGAGAAGAAGAGAAUGGACAGAGGAAAGAGAAACCAGUGAGUUUCUGCUUAUCAAGCUUGACAGCACACACCGAAGCACAGAAGUGGUCCUGACAGCACCAAGGAGAGAUGCUAACUGGUCUGAAUGCUGUGAGGAUAACAGUUUUGAAGGAUAGAGGACCAAGAUUUUGGAAGCUGACCAAAGAGAAUGGCAAAAACUUGUGGAUGUGAGGGAGACUACAGACCUACAGGGAGGAAGACUGAUGCUACGAACUGGCAAAGGAAAUCACGGAGACACCAGGAUUAUUGAGAUCUCUUCUUUACAAGAUGGAUGCAGGACACUCCAUGGCUCAGGAAACAGGU